rnacentral:rRNA from 1 species
AUACAGAGGGUGCGAGCGUUAAUCGGAAUUACUGGGCGUAAAGCGCGCGUAGGCGGCUUGGUCAGUCGGAUGUGAAAGCCCCGGGCUCAACCUGGGAAUGGCAUUCGAUACUGCCAGGCUAGAGUAUGGGAAAGGGAAGUGGAAUUUCCGGUGUAGCGGUGAAAUGCGUAGAUAUCGGAAAGAACACCAGUGGCGAAGGCGACUUCCUGGCCCAAUACUGACGCUGAGGUGCGAAAGCGUGGGGAGCGAACAGGAUUAGAAACCCUAGUAGUCC